rnacentral:rRNA from 1 species
UACAGAGGGUGCGAGCGUUGUCCGGAAUCACUGGGCGUAAAGGGCGCGUAGGCGGCUCGGUCAGCGUGCGGUGAAAGCCCGGGGCUCAACCCCGGGUCGGCCGUGCGAACUGCUGGGCUGGAGCACUGUAGAGGCAGGUGGAAUUCCGGGUGUAGCGGUGGAAUGCGUAGAGGAUCCGGAAGAACACCGGUGGCGAAGGCGGCCUGCCUGGGCGAGUAGCUGACGCUGAUGCGCGACAGCGUGGGGAGCGAACAGG